AGUUGGUUNAUGUUUUCGCGCUAAGCGGUGCGCAUGUGGCUNUAUCANNUGNAUUCGUUAGUUGGGUUUUAGCUAUACGUUAAGCUCGGCAGCGGGUCGUCUUGGUGGGGUUGUCUUGCGUUGUACGUGAUGCGCAUGAGUGGUAUUUGAGUUGUUUGGGAGGGCGGGCUCCAUGCUCUGAGCAUCGAACCGUUGUCCUNCGACUCUCUUCAUUGUUACCUCGCCCAUGGUGGUGAGGGGUGAUGAUCGGGUUCCUGUGUUGAAUACCCACUGAGGGGAAUUCUGAAGUUUGCCGUUAUUUUUCGCCUUGUGCUCGCUUCGGGUACGUGGUGGACAAUGUAGCUUCUCUCGUGUUCCAGGUUCUCACAAAUAAAUAGUGGGAGCUAUGGCCCUCGUGCGUUGCUUGUGCUCUUGGUUGCGGAAUGUGAUGUGGCCAAACGAGAUCUUGCAUCUUGUCGUAUUGGCCCGACCCUACGAAUCCUUUUUGAACGACUGCACCAGCCUCAUAUCAGCUUCACCUNNNNNNNUGCUNNNCGCNNNGUUGNGUGGGNUGGUUGGGGCUGGAGCGUCGAAAGA
rnacentral:misc_RNA from 1 species